GAUGAACGCUGGCGGCGUGCCUAAUACAUGCAAGUCGAGCGAACAGACGAGGAGCUUGCUCCUUCGACGUUAGCGGCGGACGGGUGAGUAACACGUAGGUAACCUACCUAUAAGACUGGGAUAACUUCGGGAAACCGGAGCUAAUACCGGAUAAUAUUUCGAACCGCAUGGUUCGAUAGUGAAAUAUGGCUUUGCUAUCACUUAUAGAUGGACCUGCGCCGUAUUAGCUAGUUGGGAAGGUAACGGCUUACCAAGGCAACGAUACGUAGCCGACCUGAGAGGGUGAACGGCCACACUGGCACUGAGAGACGGUCCAGACUCCUGCGGGAGGCAGCAGUAGGGAAUCUUCCGCGAUGGGGGAAAGCCUGACGGAGCAAAGCCGCGUGAGUGAUGAAGGUCUUCGGAUCGGAAAACUCUGUUAUUAGGGAUGAACAAACGUGUAAGUAACUGUGCACGUCUUGACGGUACCUAAUCAGAAAGCCACGGCUAACUACGUG
rnacentral:rRNA from 1 species